UGUAACUUUUUAACUUGCGUCCUGUAAUAUUGUUCUUGCAAAAUGUAAUUACUUCACUUCACACCAAAUUUGACAUUUCUUUUUGCCUUCUCUUGAUAAGUUCUUUGCGGGGAAAUAGUAAACUAAGGUAUCGGGCCACUGUUGAAACUUCUAUAACAUGAUGAGUUUUCCCCACUCUUUUUCCCAGUGUAAAACAUUAACUAUUUUACUCCACUAGAUUUUCAUUUGUGAACAAAAAAUUUCAUUCAUUUUUAUUUAGAAAUAGUGUAUAUUAUAGAAAUAUUCUGCCUUGGUUACCAUUGGCAGAGAAGUUAUAUCUCUAGGCAUGUUAGUUGUUAUGUUAACUACUGGUCAUCUGAACUUCAGCAAGAAGCUAUUUGAUAUUUUGAAAUUGUAGAACACCUAACCAACUCAACAUUGGAUGGAUUCGAUGUUUGAAAAAUAUUCCAUAGUUAUGAUUAUAAAUAUUUUAGUUCCAUAAUGAUGGAAUGAUUGAGUUAGAGUUCCAUAAGACAACCUUAAAUGUGAACUCGGGGGUUUGGACAGGUAGAUUAGCAGUAAGGAGGUUGAGGUGGAUUUUCUUCUGGUGAGAGUUAUGGACUUCCCUCCUUCUAGGGGAUUGAAGAACAAAGUGUUCCUAAUAUCUUUCCCAUUUCAGAGAGGGAAAAAAAUCAUUAGCUGCAGAUUGGCUGUUAAGAUUUCAGUAUUGCUGAUAAUUUGAAUGAUCCUCCAGGAGAGGCUCACUAGCUUCAAUGGAUUGGUUGAAUCCAUUUUGUUUCUUGGUACAUAUAAUAAGUCAUUCAGAUUGAUUAAUAGAGGUAAAAUCAUAAAUAAACAUGCUUACAUAUAUAUUAUAAACCAUCUUUCUCGUGCAUGUUAAUUAUUAAAAUGAUGAACUUGAGGUAUAUCAACUUGAAUUAAUGAGUCAAGAGAGGUUCUUGAGUGGGCAUAGUUCAUUUCAUCAAUCGUGUAAUUAUUUUAAUGUAGAAUAUUUCAUUGUCAUUGGCUGGCACAAAUUGAGGCCAACAGAGGCCUCCAUUAGUGAAUGGUUUGAACUGAUAUCUAAAAUACUCAAGACUGUUUGUAGCGAGAAUGAUGAUGUUGAGAUGGAUGAGCAGAGUAUAAAUAAAUAAAACCAAAUCCAAAAGCCUUUAUGAGAAGGAAACGGUGGUGAUGCUUUUUGAUAAAAUGAAGGAUGCCAUCCUAUAUGGUUUGCUUGGAUGCAACACAGGCAUCUGCCGACAAAAGAAUCAUUUAAUUUAAACUAAGGGUGCUAAAAGGUCAAUAAACUGGUCAGAUAGAAUGUGUAGAGGGUGUGAGAGAAGCCAUGAUAGCUAGGAUAUAAUGGAUCGUAUGGCUUUAGACAAUGUUGUAUGGGAAAUAGAUUGAGAUUAACCGAAACAAAGCACGUGUUGAGCCUUUAUUUAGCGAUAAAUUCAUUAUAAUAUUUAGUGAUAAUGUGUAGAGGGUGCUAAGAUGCAUGUGAUAUGUAUUAGUACUAGCUGUGGAACAAUUAACAUUCUAAUCAUUUCUCUAGUUGAGCCAA